rnacentral:rRNA from 1 species
UAGAGAAGCGUUUUCGGGGAUAGCUUGGGUGUAGGUCCUUUGGAACGAGGCAUCAGAGAGGGUGAGAAUCCCGUACCGCCCAUAGUCUAUUCCUAUGUGAUACGCUUUCAACGAGUCGGGUUGUUUGGGAUUGCAGCCCAAAAUGGGUGGUAAAUACCAUCUAAAGCUAAAUAUUGGCGAGAGACCGAUAGCGAACAAGUACCGUGAGGGAAAGAUGAAAAGAACUUUGAAAAGAGAGUUAAACAGUACGUGAAAUUGCCAAAAGGGAAGCGCUUGGAACCAGUGUUGCAACCCGUAAUCAGCCGUUCUCAGAACGGUGCACUUGCGGGAAGCAGGUCAACAUCAGUUUGGUUUGGGUUAAAAAGCUUUGGACGGGCCCUCGGGUCCAGCCUUUGUCAUGGCCUGAACUAGACUGAGGUCCGCUUAACAGGAUGUUGACGAAAUGGUUUCAAACGACCCGUCUUGAAACACGGACCAAGGAGUCUAACAAAUACGCGAGUAUUCGGGUGGCAAACCCUUAUGCGCAAUGAAAGUGAAAUUGGUGGGAACCUCCGGGUGCACCAUCGACCGGUCUGGAUUUUUUUGAUAGAUCUGAGUAAGAGCGUAUCUGUUAGGACCCGAAAGAUGGUGAACUAUGCCUGAAUAGGGUGAAGCCAGAGGAAACUCUG